AUGUUCCUGUUACAUAACUAGGAAUGCCUUGGAAAGACGCCCUGGCUAUAAGCUUUUUGCAUCAUGAUUAUUUUAGUGGACAUUUGAGUUCGGAUUCCCAGCAUAAGCUUAAAAGCUUUUUCAUAAAUAUUCCAUGGCAUUUUCUAGUCUUUAAUGUGCCAGUUACAGAGGAAGCUGUUUGAAGGGGAGGGAUGUCAACAAAUUUAUCCACCAAUAGCGUGCUCUUUUGGCACAAAAGCACAUUCUUAUCUUUACAUCCCAUAAUGAGAAGGCAGAGCCAGAAUAUGUUGCUCUAAACUCUUCGGGUGGGUAAAUACACUGUCGGGAAGAAGAAAGAGAAGAAGAACAAGAACAAGAAGGGGGGCGAGAGAGAGGGAGAGAGAGCAGUUGGUAUUUUCUUAACUUCUGAUCUACUUGCCCGGAUGACGUAACGAGUUCUGUAUUUAUCCUCCUGCGGCUUCUCUAAGCAGAAUUAAAGGAAACUUCUUUUCGCAUGAUGUCAGACUGCGAGGGAAUGGCUGUGGGGACAGAUUGCAUCACUUGAAAUGGAAUUGCAGUGCCACUCCUAGAAGUCAUACUUGAUCAUACAGCUGCAAUGAAAACUUCCCUGUGUCAGUUGCAUGAUUCUGGAACAGCUGCAUGGCUGUUUUAAUAAGAUGCAGAUUGGUGUUGCAUUCAUGUUCUCUCAAGUUUCUAAACAUCUCUUCCAAACUGAAUCUAAAGCACUGCACACCACUACAAAGGUCUGUGUAUGCAGUUGGAAGCCAUUGAUUAAGAAGAAGAAUAACUGUAUCCAUAUCCAGAGAGAACAAUUAUAUGUAUUUUAUAUGCACAGACACUUCACAAGCUAUUUAGACAAAUUGAGAUAAUCAUAAAUGGACUUGAUCAACCUGCUCUCUUCAGGAGCAAAAUGAAUUAAAUUGUGUCUCCAUUUGGUUGAUAAUAGCAGAUACUUUAUGCUCUCCAAUGAAAAAGCAAGUACAGCAGAAAUACAUAGGAAUGUGGGCUCCACCAGAAGCAGAGAUGUUUUCCAAGCAAGGAGUUUCCUGAUGCUCCAGAGAAGCUGGAAUAUUUUGCCAGUUGUAAAACGCCAAUGUUGGUCAUCUCCAUUUGCCAAGAUGAUCAUCAAAAAGUGGAUUGUGACUACAACAUGGUAAAGAUAACUCUGGCACAAUCCUGUAUAAUUAGCAUACUUGAAAAUCAAUAUAGACAUCAUGAAAUUGGCUGUAGAAUUUGACAUUGGAAAAUGAAACAUAAUCAUGCACAUUGUUCUCUUACCAUUUGCCUAUUUUUAUCAAAUGUAUUAUUAAGAACAGUAAUCAAAUCUUAAGAACAGUUAUGGAACAUUUUAAAAAAGAGAUAUGAAAGUUCUGAAUUGUAAUUUAUAUCUUGAAAUGAAUUUGAAUUGAGCCCAGAAAUCUAUAGUACAUUCAUUCAGGUUAUAGUGAACCAAGUUUUCUAUAAAUUUGGAUUUUAUGUUUGAAUAUGCAGUGGAGCUUAUGAGAUGUUGUUUUCCAGGAAUGAACAAAUGUUGCUAUUAGGACUCAAAACACUGAUUUAGAGGUCCCACUUUUUUUAUUCUUUGUGCAGGAUUUUGUCUCAUUUAUUAUCUCUCCAAAAUUAUUAAUAGCUGCACAGAGUGAUCAGCCACUAGAUGUCUCUACAUGCUACACCAAACUUCAGAAUCAGGGAAGGUGAAAUUUACAAUCAACAAUAGGGACAAGUUGUGGGUUAGAUUGCUGAAUGCUUGUUCUUUUGCAAAGCUGUUUUGUUUUAGUGAGCAAUGUCUUCUUUGUUAGUUGCAACACAGCUUUUAUUUUUGGUAUAUGUUCUUUGUUUAUUCUCUUGAGAUGAUUAUAAUUUACAAAGCUAGCUGGAUUAUAACAAUUAGUAGCGCAAUGCGUGUACAGUGGGCUGUAUGUCCAAGUAAGUAAAUAUUGUAUGGCAACAUUUCUGAUAAUCUUGUUGGAUAAAAUCUUGUCUGUGCUCACAAAAUAUAAAAAAUAUUGGAGCAGCGAGGUGGCUCAGUGGUUAAGAUGCUGGGCUUGUCGUCUGGAAAACUGACAGCCCAGGUUUGAGACCUGAGCGCCAUGCGACGGGCUGAGCUCUCAUCCUUGCCCCACUCUUGCUAACCUAGCAGUUCAAAAGCAUGCAUGUGUGAGUAGAUAAAUAGAUAUCACUCCAGUCGGAAGGUAACAUCGCUCUGCGAUGUCAUGCUGGUCACAUGACUUUGGAAAUAUCUUCAGACAGCAAUUGCUCAAUGGCCUUGAAAUGGAGAUGAACACCACAUAUAGUCAGCAACAACUAGUGGAGUAAAAUCCGUAGGGACCCCUUUAUCUUUACCUUUUGUUCAAAAAUAUAUACAUAUCUGCUGGUUCAGCAAACUCUGCUUUGUUCAAUAUCUCUUAUCUGUUCCAUCACUGUUCCAUCAUGACUGCUUACCAAGUCUUUUAUGAAUCCCUUUCUCUAAGUACUGUUAUUCUCAAAUGUUACAAAGAGAAAAGAUGGUGAUAUCUGUAUUAGGCAUGUAUUUUGAUUGGUAUCCUCUUUUUUAUAAAGUAUUAAUACCACUUUAUAACGCCUUGGUAAGGCCACACUUGGAAUACUGCAUUCAGUUUGGGUCACCACGAUGUAAAAAAGAUGUUGAGACUCUAGAAAGAAUACAGA